GCUUUGUAAGUUUAAUUGAUUUGAAGUCGAUUUUAGGGUGUUCGAUCAUCCACGAAGUU
rnacentral:tRNA from 2 species